CCUACGGGAGGCAGCAGUGGGGAAUUUUGGACAAUGGGCGAAAGCCUGAUCCAGCAAUGCCGCGUGAGUGAAGAAGGCCUUCGGGUUGUAAAGCUCUUUUGUCAGGGAAGAAACGGUGUUUUCUAAUACAGAAUGCUAAUGACGGUACCUGAAGAAUAAGCACCGGCUAACUACGUGCCAGCAGCCGCGGUAAUACGUAGGGUGCAAGCGUUAAUCGGAAUUACUGGGCGUAAAGCGUGCGCAGGCGGUUUUGUAAGUCUGACGUGAAAUCCCCGGGCUCAACCUGGGAAUUGCGUUGGAGACUGCAAGGCUAGAGUUUGGCAGAGGGGGGUAGAAUUCCACGUGUAGCAGUGAAAUGCGUAGAUAUGUGGAGGAACACCGAUGGCGAAGGCAGCCCCCUGGGUCAAGACUGACGCUCAUGCACGAAAGCGUGGGGAGCAAACAGGGUUAGAUACCCUGGUAGUCCACGCCCUAAACGAUGUCUACUAGUUGUCGGGUCUUAAUUGACUUGGUAACGCAGCUAACGCGUGAAGUAGACCGCCUGGGGAGUCGGUCGCAAGAUUAAAACNCAAAGGAAUUGACGGCUGAGAGNGCGAGACGACGACGAGGGAGAGG
rnacentral:rRNA from 1 species